UAUAUUAAAGUUGUUGCGGUUAAAAAGCUCGUAGUUGGAGUUCUGCCAGGUGCCGCCUGUCCGCCCCAGUGGUGAGUACGUGGCGCGCAUUUGGCCCUUUCAAGGGGAGCGUAUUGCACUUAACUGUGUGGUGCGGGAUCCUUGACUUUUACUUUGAGGAAAUAAGAGUGUUCCAAGCAGGCUCUCGUCGUGCAUAGCUCAGCAUGGAAUAAUAGCAUUGGAUCUCGAUUCCAAACUGUUGGUUGUAGGAAACGAGAUAAUGAUGAAGAGGGAUAGUUGGGGGCAUUCGUAUUUAACUGUCAGAGGUGAAAUUCUUGGAUUUGUUAAAGACGAACUACUGCGAAAGCAUCUGCCAUGGAUGUUUUCAUUGAUCAAGAACGAAAGUUAGGGGAUCGAAGACGAUCAGAUACCGUCCUAGUCUUAACUAUAAACCAUGCCGGCUAGAGAUCGGAGGUUGUUCGUUUUGUGACGCCUUCAGCAUCCUGAGAGAAAUCAAAGCCUUUGGGUUCCGGGGGGAGUAUGGUCGCAAGGCUGAAACUUAAAGG
rnacentral:rRNA from 1 species